rnacentral:rRNA from 1 species
UACGUAGGGGGCGAGCGUUGUCCGGAUUUACUGGGUGUAAAGGGAGCGUAGACGGCUGCGCAAGUCUGAAGUGAAAGCCCGCGGCUCAACCGCGGAACGGCUUUGGAAACUGAGCGGCUGGAGUGCUGGAGGGGCAGGCGGAAUUCCUGGUGUAGCGGUGAAAUGCGUAGAUAUCACGCAGAACUCCGAUUGCGAAGGCAGCGUACCGGCGCCCAACUGACGCUGAAGCACGAAGGCGUGGGUAUCGAACAGG